UACGUAGGGGGCGAGCGUUGUCCGGAUUUAUUGGGCGUAAAGAGCUCGUAGGCCGUUCGGUAAGUCAGAUGUGAAAACUCCAGGCUCAACUUGGAGAGGCCAUCUGAUACUGCCGUGACUUGAGUCCGGUAGGGGAGCACGGAAUUCCUGGUGUAGCGGUGAAAUGCGCAGAUAUCAGGAGGAACACCGGUGGCGAAGGCAGCUCGCUGGGACGGUACUGACGCUGAGGCGCGAAAGCGUGGGGAGCAAACAGG
rnacentral:rRNA from 1 species